GGAACUGUACUUUAUAUAGAAGAUUUGGUUUGCAAUUAAACAGAGGAAUAUCAUUCCCAGUACCA
rnacentral:tRNA from 1 species